rnacentral:rRNA from 1 species
UCGUGUCGUGAGAGUGUUGGGUUAAGUCCCGUAACGAGCGCAACCCUUGUCCUAGUUACCAGCACGUUAUGGUGGGCACGUCUAAGGAGACCUGCCGGUGGACAAACCGGAGGAAGGUGGGGAUGACGUCAAGUCAUCACUGGCCCUUACGGCCUGGGCUACACACGUGCUACAAUGGUCGGUACAAAGGGUUGCCAAGCCGCGAGGUGGAGCUAAUCCCAUAAAAACCGAUCGUAGUCCGGAUCGCAGUCUGCAACUCGACUGCGUGAAGUCGGAAUCGCUAGUAAUCGUGAAUCAGAAUGUCACGGUGAAUAACGUUCCCGGGCCUU